CAAAGGGAUUACCGGUGGCGGAUGGGCAUGCGGCGCAUUAGCUAGUCGGCGGGGUAACGGCCCACCGAGGCGACGAUGCGUAGGGGUUCUGAGAGGAAGGUCCCCCACACUGGUACUGAGACACGGACCAGACUCCUACGGGAGGCAGCAGUGAGGAAUAUUGGUCAAUGGGCGCGAGCCUGAACCAGCCAAGUCGCGUGAGGGAUGACGGUCCUACGGAUUGUAAACCUCUUUUGCCGGGGAGCAAGCGUGCGUUCGUGAGCGCGCGUCGAGAGUACCCGGAGAAAAAGCAUCGGCUAACUCCGUGCCAGCAGCCGCGGUAAUACGGAGGAUGCGAGCGUUAUCCGGAUUUAUUGGGUUUAAAGGGUGCGUAGGCGGGAUGCCAAGUCAGCGGUAAAAAUGCGGUGCUCAACGCCGUCGAGCCGUUGAAACUGGCGUUCUUGAGUGGGCGAGAAGUAUGCGGAAUGCGUGGUGUAGCGGUGAAAUGCAUAGAUAUCACGCAGAACUCCGAUUGCGAAGGCAGCAUACCGGCGCCCUACUGACGCUGAGGCACGAAAGCGUGGGUAUCGAACAGGAUUAGAUACCCUGGUAGUCCACGCAGUAAACGAUGAAUGCUAACUGUCCGGCUCGAAUGAGCGCUGG
rnacentral:rRNA from 1 species